rnacentral:rRNA from 1 species
GAUGAACGCUGGCGGCAUGCUUUACACAUGCAAGUCGGACGGGAAGUGGUGUUUCCAGUGGCGGGCGGGUGAGUAACGCGUAAGAACCUGCCCUUGGGAGGGGAACAACAGCUGGAAACGGCUGCUAAUACCCCGUAGGCUGAGGAGCGAAAGGAGGAAUCCGCCCAAGGAGGGGCUCGCGUCUGAUUAGCUAGUUGGUGAGGUAAUAGCUUACCAAGGCCGUGAUCAGUAGCUGGUCCGAGAGGAUGAUCAGCCACACUGGGACUGAGACAAGGCCCAGACUCCUACGGGAGGCAGCAGUGGGGAAUUUUCCGCAAUGGGCGAAAGCCUGACGGAGCAAUGCCGCGUGGAGGUAAAAGGCCUACGGGUCAUGAACUUCUUUUCCUGGAGAAGAAACAAUGACGGUAUCUGGGGAAUAAGCAUCGGCUAACUCUGUG